UACGAAGGGGGCUAGCGUUGUUCGGAAUUACUGGGCGUAAAGCGUGCGCAGGCGGUGGCUUAAGUCAGGCGUGAAAUCCCCGGGCUUAACCUGGGAAUGGCGUUUGGGACUGGGUCGCUAGAGUGUGGCAGAGGGAGGUGGAAUUCCACGUGUAGCAGUGAAAUGCGUAGAGAUGUGGAGGAACACCGAUGGCGAAGGCAGCCUCCUGGGCCAGCACUGACGCUCAUGCACGAAAGCGUGGGGAGCAAACAGG
rnacentral:rRNA from 1 species